UUCGCUUCUCGGCCUUAUGGCUAAGAUCAAAGUGUAGUAUCUGUAUGUCUGUCUGUCUGUCACAUGCACUUUUCUCAGAAACAGCUAUACCGAUU